rnacentral:rRNA from 1 species
GAUAAACGCUGGCGGCGUGCCUAAUACAUGCAAGUCGAGCGAACGGACGAGAAGCUUGCUUCUCUGAUGUUAGCGGCGGACGGGUGAGUAACACGUGGAUAACCUACCUAUAAGACUGGGAUAACUUCGGGAAACCGGAGCUAAUACCGGAUAAUAUUUUGAACCGCAUGGUUCAAAAGUGAAAGACGGUCUUGCUGUCACUUAUAGAUGGAUCCGCGCUGCAUUAGCUAGUUGGUAAGGUAACGGCUUACCAAGGCAACGAUGCAUAGCCGACCUGAGAGGGUGAUCGGCCACACUGGAACUGAGACACGGUCCAGACUCCUACGGGAGGCAGCAGUAGGGAAUCUUCCGCAAUGGGCGAAAGCCUGACGGAGCAACGCCGCGUGAGUGAUGAAGGUCUUCGGAUCGUAAAACUCUGUUAUUAGGGAAGAACAUAUGUGUAAGUAACUGUGCACAUCUUGACGGUACCUAAUCAGAAAGCCACGGCUAACUACGUGCCAGCAGCCGCGGUAAUACGUAGGUGGCAAGCGUUAUCCGGAAUUAUUGGGCGUAAAGCGCGCGUAGGCGGUUUUUUAAGUCUGAUGUGAAAGCCCACGGCUCAACCGUGGAGGGUCAUUGGAAACUGGAAAACUUGAGUGCAGAAGAGGAAAGUGGAAUUCCAUGUGUAGCGGUGAAAUGCGCAGAGAUAUGGAGGAACACCAGUGGCGAAGGCGACUUUCUGGUCUGUAACUGACGCUGAUGUGCGAAAGCGUGGGGAUCAAACAGGAUUAGAUACCCUGGUAGUCCACGCCGUAAACGAUGAGUGCUAAGUGUUAGGGGGUUUCCGCCCCUUAGUGCUGCAGCUAACGCAUUAAGCACUCCGCCUGGGGAGUACGACCGCAAGGUUGAAACUCAGAGGAAUUGACGGGGACCCGCACAAGCGGUGGAGCAUGUGGUUUAAUUCGAAGCAACGCGAAGAACCUUACCAAAUCUUGACAUCCUUUGACAACUCUAGAGAUAGAGCCUUCCCCUUCGGGGGACAAAGUGACAGGUGGUGCAUGGUUGUCGUCAGCUCGUGUCGUGAGAUGUUGGGUUAAGUCCCGCAACGAGCGCAACCCUUAAGCUUAGUUGCCAUCAUUAAGUUGGGCACUCUAAGUUGACUGCCGGUGACAAACCGGAGGGAGGUGGGGAUGACGUCAAAUCAUCAUGCCCCUUAUGAUUUGGGCUACACACGUGCUACAAUGGACAAUACAAAGGGCAGCGAAACCGCGAGGUCAAGCAAAUCCCAUAAAGUUGUUCUCAGUUCGGAUUGUAGUCUGCAACUCGACUACAUGAAGCUGGAAUCGCUAGUAAUCGUAGAUCAGCAUGCUACGGUGAAUACGUUCCCGGGUCU